UUCAUUGUGCAGUGGCAGCAUCGUAGGCCGUGAGGGUUAUCUGAGUUGUGAUUAAUGCUAAUUGAAAACUUUUCACCUGGCUCCUAAUAUACAUAUUAGCUUUCUGUUUUAUUUUUUAAUUUCCCUGAGUAGAAUAGUAUA
rfam:Myotis brandtii contig262513, whole genome shotgun sequence.